rnacentral:lncRNA from 1 species
AUCGACCCCUAGCUGGGAAUCUCUAUCUGCUGUGGGUGCAGCCCUAAAAAGACCAAAAAACCCCCAAAAAACAAAAGCCCUCUUUUUGUAAGAACAAUAGUCAUUGAACUAGGGUUUAGUUUAAUCCACUAUGGCCUCCUCUUAACUUGAUCGCAGUGCCCUCCCCCGCCCCCCACGGACACAUCUGUCAUCACUCUCUGCUUCUACAGGUUGAACUUUGAAAACUCCAAGCAAAACAUAAAUGACAGCUUUUAAAAAGUAUAAUUGAUAGUAAAAGCUAUAUGACUUCAUAAACUUGGACAUAUAAACGAACAUCCGUGUUAAAUCAUACAAAUCAAGGUGCCAAGAUUGGAGUGGGGGAGACGCCCAAGACACAUCGACACGUUAGGGCAGGUGCAGGUGUCUGCUGUGAAGGAGGCGGCAGAGACAAGGACCCAGAGGGAUGGAAGAAGGCGUUUCUGCUCAGGUGAGACGAGGGCAUCAGGGUCCAGACCUGCCAGGAACGUG